CUGCACGGCGCACCCCGGGCUUUUCCGAAAAUCUCAUGAAGAAAAAAGCCCCAAUGCGCGUGCUAAAGUGUCAGCCGUUAAGUGUUGCAGUUCAGCCCCAAAUUCUUACGGCUGAUCUGUGUCAAAUCAACUGCGACAUUC
rnacentral:snoRNA from 1 species